GACGAACGCUGGCGGCGUGCUUAACACAUGCAAGUCGAACGGAAAGGCCCUGCUUUUGUGGGGUGCUCGAGUGGCGAACGGGUGAGUAACAUGUGAGUAACCUGCCCUUGACUUUGGGAUAACUUCAGGAAACUGGGGCUAAUACCGGAUAGGAGCUCCUGCUGCAUGGUGGGGGUUGGAAAGUUCCGGCGGUUGGGGAUGGACUCGCGGCUUAUCAGCUUGUUGGUGGGGUAGUGGCUUACCAAGGCUUUGACGGGUAGCCGGCCUGAGAGGGUGACCGGCCACAUUGGGACUGAGAUACGGCCCAGACUCCUACGGGAGGCAGCAGUGGGGAAUAUUGCACAAUGGGCGGAAGCCUGAUGCAGCAACGCCGCGUGCGGGAUGACGGCCUUCGGGUUGUAAACCGCUUUCGCCUGUGACGAAGCGUGAGUGACGGUAAUGAGUAAAGAAGCACCGGCUAACUACGUG
rnacentral:rRNA from 1 species